rnacentral:rRNA from 1 species
GUCGAGAAUCUUUCACAAUGGGGGCAACCCUGAUGGAGCGACGCCGCGUGGAGGAUAAGGUCUUCGGAUUGUAAACUCCUGUCAUGCGUGAACAAGGUUGCUUGGAUAAUACCUGAGCAAAUUGAUGGUAGCGCAAGAGGAAGAGACGGCUAACUCUGUGCCAGCAGCCGCGGUAAUACAGAGGUCUCAAGCGUUGUUCGGAAUCACUGGGCGUAAAGGGUGCGUAGGUGGCGUGGCAAGUCAGAUGUGAAAGCCAGGGGCUCAACCUCGGAACUGCAGCCGAUACUGCCAUGCUAGAGUACUGGAGGGGUGACUAGAAUUCUCGGUGUAGCAGUGAAAUGCGUAGAUAUCGAGAGGAAUACCAAAGGCGUAGGCAGGUCACUGGACAGUUACUGACACUGAGGCACGAAGGCCAGGGGAGCGAACGGGAUUAGAAACCCGUGUAGUCC